UGUUCAGUGACAGUUUACUGUAAUAUGGAUUUAAAGUGUAAUGUGAUCUUCAUUAAUUUAAGGAACAGAUAUACGGAUAUAGAUGCCUUCGUCACACAACUUUGUAGUCUACGAUAGCUGAAAGACAAAAUCCUUAUGCUGCAUCAUACACCUGUAUCUUGAAACGUAACCUGAGAAAGAUAUUUGCAAAGAGAAAAAAUGAUGCACUAACAAGAUCUUUGUCUCUUCAGAAGGAUAUAUGCAAAAUCAAAAGAUUGUUGUAUUUUUAUGCAGAAAAAAGUUUGAUAUGUUCA